CCCCUAACUCCUUCAUUCUGUUCCAUUUUCAGAAAAACUAGCUCCUUGUUCCUUCCCAUCGUCUAGUGUAAGAGCUCUGCUAGGGCACAGAGGUUCUUCCCUUUGUUUCAAGCUAGCUAAGGAUAUUGUACUUCCAGCUCCGUACCUUGCUCCUGUGCUCCACUACUUUUCUUGGGUUACCACUUUAUUCUGUUAGUGUAUAACAAGAUGGAAAUAUUGCUGGAGGUAGACCUGACGGUGGUAGCGGUGCAGCUUAGUGGGUUAGUUGAUGUGGCCUCAAAUGAAAUUUCAUGGCCUAGUGUCUUUGUAAUCUUGUGCUCUAGGAGCCUUCCUUUUGCAUAACUAUGAACCUUUUCAAUUCUGUUGUGUGGCUAUGGCAUGGUUGUAUGCCUAGACCCCUUUCAAGUACAUUCUUGGAUGACUGUAACAAUUGGGUUUCUUAUGUAUGUUGUUCCAAAUCUGAUUGCUCUUUA